UCCUGGCUCAGGAUGAACGCUAGCGACAGGCUUAACACAUGCAAGUCGAGGGGCAGCAUGAUUUGUAGCAAUACAGAUUGAUGGCGACCGGCGCACGGGUGAGUAACGCGUAUGCAACUUACCUAUCAGAGGGGGAUAGCCCGGCGAAAGUCGGAUUAAUACCCCAUAAAACAGGGGUCCCGCAUGGGAAUAUUUGUUAAAGAUUCAUCGCUGAUAGAUAGGCAUGCGUUCCAUUAGGCAGUUGGCGGGGUAACGGCCCACCAAACCGACGAUGGAUAGGGGUUCUGAGAGGAAGGUCCCCCACAUUGGUACUGAGACACGGACCAAACUCCUACGGGAGGCAGCAGUGAGGAAUAUUGGUCAAUGGCCGAGAGGCUGAACCAGCCAAGUCGCGUGAAGGAAGAAGGAUCUAUGGUUUGUAAACUUCUUUUAUAGGGGAAUAAAGUGGAGGACGUGUCCUUUUUUGUAUGUACCCUAUGAAUAAGCAUCGGCUAACUCCGUGCCAGCAGCCGCGGUAAUACGGAGGAUGCGAGCGUUAUCCGGAUUUAUUGGGUUUAAAGGGUGCGUAGGUGGUGAUUUAAGUCAGCGGUGAAAGUUUGUGGCUCAACCAUAAAAUUGCCGUUGAAACUGGGUUACUUGAGUGUGUUUGAGGUAGGCGGAAUGCGUGGUGUAGCGGUGAAAUGCAUAGAUAUCACGCAGAACUCCGAUUGCGAAGGCAGCUUACUAAACCAUAACUGACACUGAAGCACGAAAGCGUGGGGAUCAAACAGGAUUAGAUACCCUGGUAGUCCACGCAGUAAACGAUGAUUACUAGGAGUUUGCGAUACAAUGUAAGCUCUACAGCGAAAGCGUUAAGUAAUCCACCUGGGGAGUACGCCGGCAACGGUGAAA
rnacentral:rRNA from 1 species